rnacentral:rRNA from 1 species
AUUGAACGCUGGCGGCAGGCCUAACACAUGCAAGUCGAGCGAGCGGCGGACGGGUGAGUAAUGUCUGGGAAACUGCCUGAUGGAGGGGGAUAACUACUGGAAACGGUAGCUAAUACCGCAUCCCAUCAGAUGUGCCCAGAUGGGAUUAGCUAGUAGGUGGGUUAACGGCUCACCUAGGCGACGAUCCCUAGCUGGUCUGAGAGGAUGACCAGCAACACGGGAACUGAGACACGGUCCAGAUUCCUACGGGAGGCAGCAGUGGGGAAUAUUGCACAAUGGGCGCAAGCCUGAUGCAGCAAUGCCGCGGGUGUGAAGAAGGCCUUCGGGUUGUAAAGCACGUUCAGCGGGGAGGCGGUACCCGCAGAAGAAGCACCGGCUAACUCCGUGCCAGCAGCCGCGGUAAUAC